GACGAACGCUGGCGGCGUGCUUAACACAUGCAAGUCGAACGGAAAGGCCCUGCUUUUGUGGGGUGCUCGAUUGGCGAACGGGUGAGUAACACGUGAGUAACCUGCCCUUGACUUUGGGAUAACUUCAGGAAACUGGGGCUAAUACCGGAUAGGAGCUCCUGCUGCUUGGGGGGGGUUGGAAAGUUUCGGCGGUUGGGGAUGGACUCGCGGCUUAUCAGCUUGUUGGUGGGGUAGUGGCUUACCAAGGCUUUGACGGGUGGCCGGACUGAGAGGGUGACCGGCCACAUUGGGACUGAGAUACGGCCCAGACUCCUACGGGAGGCAGCAGUGGGGAAUAUUGCACAAUGGGCGGAAGCCUGAUGCAGCAACGCCGCGUGCGGGAUGACGGCCUUCGGGUUGUAAACCGCUUUCGCCUGUGACGAAGCGUGAGUGACGGUAAUGGGUAAAGAAGCACCGGCUAACUACGUG
rnacentral:rRNA from 1 species